rnacentral:lncRNA from 1 species
AGGUUGUGACCUACCGUUAAGAGAUAGAUGAAAGGAAAUUAUUGUCUCUUUCUAGAGAAAAAAAUAGAAGAGAUUCAUUAUUUGCAAAACCCAAAAUAAACAUUGAUUUUGAGGACAGAAUGCCUGAAUUCUGGUCUUAUCAUUUUCCUGGUCCUUUAGCUGCCUUGGAACCUCCUUGGAUUGGUUAUAGGAACUUGGUGAAGAAUGUGGAAAAAAUGAGGAUAAAUAACAAAUAAUUGAAAUGGUCAUGAUUUUAUUUCUUCAAAAUAGUUCUAAGAAAACAUGUAAGGCUUUCUCAGUUACUUCCUGCAGAAGACUCUGAA